rnacentral:rRNA from 1 species
UAGGGAAUCUUCGGCAAUGGGGGCAACCCUGACCGAGCAACGCCGCGUGAGUGAAGAAGGUUUUCGGAUCGUAAAGCUCUGUUGUAAGAGAAGAACGUGUGUGAGAGUGGAAAGUUCACACAGUGACGGUAACUUACCAGAAAGGGACGGCUAACUACGUGCCAGCAGCCGCGGUAAUACGUAGGUCCCGAGCGUUGUCCGGAUUUAUUGGGCGUAAAGCGAGCGCAGGCGGUUUAAUAAGUCUGAAGUUAAAGGAAGUGGCUUAACCAUUGUUCGCUUUGGAAACUGUUAAACUUGAGUGCAGAAGGGGAGAGUGGAAUUCCAUGUGUAGCGGUGAAAUGCGUAGAUAUAUGGAGGAACACCGGUGGCGAAAGCGGCUCUCUGGUCUGUAACUGACGCUGAGGCUCGAAAGCGUGGGGAGCAAACAGG